rnacentral:rRNA from 1 species
UACGGAGGGUGCGAGCGUUGUCCGGAAUCACUGGGCGUAAAGCGUCCGCAGGUGGCACUUCAAGUCUGUCGUCAAAGACUGGGGCUUAACCCUGGAAAGGCGGUGGAAACUGAAGCGCUAGAGUGCGGUAGGGGUAGAGGGAAUUCCCGGUGUAGCGGUGAAAUGCGUAGAUAUCUGGAGGAACACCGGUGGCGAAGGCGGCAUCCUGGACCGAUACUGACGCUGAGGAGCGAAAGCCAGGGGAGCAAACGGG